rnacentral:rRNA from 1 species
AGUGAACGCUGGCGGUAGGCCUAACACAUGCAAGUCGAACGGCAGCACAGUAAGAGCUUGCUCUUACGGGUGGCGAGUGGCGGACGGGUGAGGAAUACAUCGGAAUCUACUUUUUCGUGGGGGAUAACGUAGGGAAACUUACGCUAAUACCGCAUACGACCUACGGGUGAAAGCAGGGGAUCUUCGGACCUUGCGCGAUUGAAUGAGCCGAUGUCGGAUUAGCUAGUUGGCGGGGUAAAGGCCCGCCAAGGCGACGAUCCGUAGCUGGUCUGAGAGGAUGAUAAGCCACACUGGAACUGAGACACGGUCCAGACUCCUACGGGAGGCAGCAGUGGGGAAUAUUGGACAAUGGGCGCAAGCCUGAUCCAGCCAUACCGCGUGGGUGAAGAAGGCCUUCGGGUUGUAAAGCCCUUUUGUUGGGAAAGAAAAGCAGCAGGUUAAUACCCCGCUGUUCUGACGGUACCCAAAGAAUAAGCACCGGCUAACUUCGUG